rnacentral:tRNA from 1 species
GCGCUGUGGCAGAGUGGUCAAAUGCACUCGUUCUCCAGCACUUAUCCGUAGUUCAUUAGUGACUAUGCUGCGGGUCGGCAGAUAAGCCUUAUCUUUAAUCUGCUGGUUGCGGGUUCGAGUCCCGCCGUUACAGCGCA